rnacentral:rRNA from 1 species
CGGAGACCGAUGAAGUAGCAAUACUUUAUCGGAAUUAGUGGCGGACGGGUGAGUAACACGUAGGUAACCUACCCCUGGGCGGGGGACAACUCCGGGAAACCGGAGCUAAUACCGCAUAAGUCCACGGAUUGAGAUAUCUGCGGGAAAAGUGGUAACACACCUGGGGAUGGGCCUGCGGCCUAUCAGGUAGUUGGUGAGGUAAUAGCUCACCAAGCCAAAGACGGGUAGCCGGGCUGAGAGGUUGAACGGCCACACUGGAACUGAGACACGGUCCAGACUCCUACGGGAGGCAGCAGUGGGGAAUCUUGCGCAAUGGGGGAAACCCUGACGCAGCGACGCCGCGUGGAGGAUGAAGGUCUUCGGGUUGUAAACUCCUUUUCUUGGGAAAGAUAAUGACGGUACCCAAGGAAUAAGCCACGGCUAACUCUGUGCCAGCAGCCGCGGUAAGACAGAGGUGGCGAGCGUUGUUCGGAAUUACUGGGCUUAAAGGGCGAGUAGGCGGUAGGGCAAGUCCAGGGUGGAAUCCUAUGGCUUAACCAUAGAAUUGCCUUGGAAACUGCUUUACUUGAGUCAGUGAGGGGAGGGCGGAAUUCCUGGUGUAGCGGUGAAAUGCGUAGAUAUCAGGAGGAAGGCCAGUGGCGAAGGCGGCCCUCUGGCACUGCACUGACGCUGAGGCGCGAAAGCGUGGGGAGCAAACAGGAUUAGAUACCCUGGUAGUCCACGCCCUAAACGGUGGGCAUUAGAUGUAGGGCUCGUAAGGGUUCUGUGCCGAAGGGAAACCAUUAAAUGCCCCGCCUGGGG